rnacentral:tRNA from 1 species
GUCGUCGUGGCCGAGUGGUUAAGGCGACAGACUUGAAAUCUGUUGGGCUCUGCCCGCACAGGUUCGAAUCCUGUAGGCGACG